UUUGUGGUAUUUACAGGUUCGGUAAACAAGGGUCUUCCUUUUGGGUGGAGCAGCGGAGGGAGUCAUUACCGAGUUUACACUCCCAAACCCGAAUGUGAACCAUACCUAGACGUUGCUUCGGCGGUACCGCCCCGGCGCCCUCGGGCCCGGAACCAGGCGCCCGCCGGGGGACCAACCAAACCCUUUCAGUGAAUCCCGGGCGACCCCCGGCGGCAUUAUUUGAGUACAGCGAAAUAAAAAACGCAUCAAGACUUUCAACAACGGAUCUCUUGGUUCUGGCAUCGAUGAAGAACGCAGCGAAAUGCGAUAAGUAAUGUGAAUUGCAGAAUUCAGUGAAUCAUCGAAUCUUUGAACGCACAUUGCGCCCGCCAGCAUUCUGGCGGGCAUGCCUGCCCGAGCGUCAUUUCAACCCUCGCACGCCCCUCUGGGGGCGGCGGUGUUGGGGACCGGCCGCCCAGCGGCCGCCCCCGAAAUGCAGUGGCGGUCCCGCCGGCGCCUCCCCCGCGUAGUAGCACACACCUCGCGGACCGGGAGCGACGACGGGCCCAACGCCGUAAAACCCCCCCAACUGAAGGCCUCCGGGCCGAAGAGUUUGACCUCGGAUCAGGUAGGCAUACCCGCUGAACUAAAGCAUAUCAAUAAG
rnacentral:rRNA from 1 species